rnacentral:rRNA from 35 species
ACGGGUGAGUAAUAUAUCGGAACGUGCCCAAUCGUGGGGGAUAACGUAGAGAAAUUUACGCUAAUACCGCAUACGAUCUAAGGAUGAAAGCGGGGGAUCGCAAGACCUCGCGCGAUUGGAGCGGCUGAUAUCAGAUUAGGUUGUUGGUGAGGUAAAAGCUCACCAAGCCGACGAUCUGUAGCUGGUUUGAGAGAACGACCAGCCACACUGGGACUGAGACACGGCCCAGACUCCUACGGGAGGCAGCAGUGGGGAAUUUUGGACAAUGGGCGAAAGCCUGAUCCAGCAAUGCCGCGUGCAGGAAGAAGGCCUUCGGGUUGUAAACUGCUUUUGUACGGAACGAAACGGCUCUUUCUAAUAAAGAGGGCUAAUGACGGUACCGUAAGAAUAAGCACCGGCUAACUACGUGCCAGCAGCCGCGGUAAUACGUAGGGUGCGAGCGUUAAUCGGAAUUACUGGGCGUAAAGCGUGCGCAGGCGGUUAUGUAAGACAGUUGUGAAAUCCCCGGGCUCAACCUGGGAAUUGCAUCUGUGACUGCAUAGCUAGAGUACGGUAGAGGGGGAUGGAAUUCCGCGUGUAGCAGUG